GACGAACGUUGGCGGCGUGCCUAAUACAUGCAAGUCAACUGAAAUACCGGUAGCAAUACUGGUAUGGAGGUGGCGCACGGGUGAGUAACACGUAGGUAAUCUGCCUUCAGGUCUGACAUAACCCAUCGAAAGGUGAGCUAAUAUCAGAUGAUGCAGCGGCUUGACAUCAAGACAGUUGUUAAAGCUUCGGCGCCUGAAGAUGAGCCNGCGUCUGAUUAGCUAGUUGGCGGGGUAACGGCCCACCAAGGCUGCGAUCAGUAGCUGGUCUGAGAGGAUGAUCAGUCACACUGGAACUGAGACACGGUCCAGACUCCGUACGGGAGCAGCAGUAAGAAUAUUGCUCAAUGGCCGAAAGGCUGAAGCAGCAACGCCGCGUGAGGGAUGAAGGGU
rnacentral:rRNA from 1 species